CCUUACAAUAAUAAUUAAAACAAACUAUACAACUAGUAAUCAACUCCGCCUUCUCAGUUCUAGUGCACCGACGAGACCUAGAGACAAACCGUGCCGAAUAUCACGAACUAUCACAAGGAGGGGGUGGGGGGAUUACAUUUGUGAUACAGUACCAAAAGUUGUGUCUUCAAAAACCGACGUCAUGUCGCAAACCCAUUAUUGCUGGAACAAAUAUAUCAGGCUCUGUGUCAGUCUAUUAUUACCUACUGUAUUUCGUCAUGGAGGGUAUCUGCAGUUCCAUCUGUUCACUGCAGCUCAGCAGCACUACGGCACAGCAGCACCGCGCCGCACCGCACCGUGCCGCGCCGCUCCGCUUCCGCGCACCACACCUUUUACCACCACCCGUUUUGAUUGGGAAUCAGUCCUAAGUCUGUUAAUUCGUGCCCUAGAAAUUCUUUUCAGAAAAAUGUUUAAGAUGUAAAAAUGUUUAUUCAGAAAUUCUGACUUGUCUAAUUAAUAUAUAUCACUUUUUCAACCACA